GAAUUGCGAUAAGUAAUGUGAAUUGCAGAAUUCAGUGAAUCAUCGAAUCUUUGAACGCACCUUGCACUCUUUGGUAUUCCGAAGAGUAUGUCUGUUUGAGUAUCAUGAAACUCUCAACCCCCCUAUUUUGUAAUGAAAUGGGCGUGGGCUUGGAUUAUGGUUGUCUGUCGGCGUAAUUGCCGGCUCAACUGAAAUACACGAGCAACCCUAUUGAAAUAGACGGUUUGACUUGGCGUAAUAAUUUAUUUCGCUAAGUACGUCUUCUUCAAAUAUAAGAGGUGCUUCUAAUGCGCUUUUAUAGCACUUUAAGCUUUAGAUCUCAAAUCAGUCAGGACUACCCGCUGAACUUAAGC
rnacentral:misc_RNA from 1 species